rnacentral:rRNA from 1 species
GAUGAACGCUGGCGGCGUGCCUAAUACAUGCAAGUCGAGCGAAUCUCUUCGGAGAUUAGCGGCGGACGGGUGAGUAACACGUAGGCAACCUGCCUGUAAGACUGGGAUAACUUCGGGAAACCGGAGCUAAUACCGGAUAGGUUUUCGUAUUGCAUGAUACGAAAUGGAAAGGCGGCUUUUAGCUGUCACUUACAGAUGGUCCUGCGGCGCAUUAGCUAGUUGGUGAGGUACCGGCUCACCAAGGCGACGAUGCGUAGCCGACCUGAGAGGGUGAUCGGCCACACUGGGACUGAGACACGGCCCAGACUCCUACGGGAGGCAGCAGUAGGGAAUCUUCCGCAAUGGACGAAAGUCUGACGGAGCAACGCCGCGUGAGCGAUGAAGGCCUUCGGGUCGUAAAGCUCUGCUGUUAGGGAAGGACAAGUACGAGAGUAACUGCUCGUACCUUGACGGUACCUAACCAGAAAGCCACGGCUAACUACGUGCCAGCAGCCGCAGUAAAAC